AGCCGCGGCUCUAAUACCAAAAGCCCUUUCACCCAGAGCCGGAAGUUGGAGAGCGCGGAGACGAGGUCCCGAAGCGGCGCCUAAGCUUCCUUCUAGAAUUCAUUCCUUGCCUGAGUGCUUUCUUCCCUUUAUCUCAUACAUUUGAAAUUUUCUUUGCCCCCAGAUCUAAGCUCUGUCCAUCCAGGACCAGUCACCAUCAUGGACAGCAGCUUUGCCAUCUAGGAGUUCAUGUACUCUUGUCAGCGAUUGUGAUUUCAGUGCACUGAGGAU
rnacentral:lncRNA from 1 species